rnacentral:lncRNA from 1 species
CUGGGGUCCCCGUUGUGGGCCAUUUGACCCACAUGUAGGAGGUGGCCUGGAUCUGCUGGAUUUCCCACCCACGUCUGCAUCCGGGGGGUCUCGCCUGGGCCGGUGGCUGGGCUGUGAUGGGAGCCCUGAGCGUCCCCCCUCCCCACACUCGUGUGGGGUCCCCAGCGCCGCGUCCCCACAUCUCUGAGGGAAGCAGGCUCUUCAGUGAAGCAGAAUUUGGCAGUGACACGUCCUCUGUCCUCCGUCACAGCAGGGAGAGACCGGGGCGUGGACAAGAGCAAUUUUUCUCAGCUCGGGAGCCACAAGACAAUUCCUCAGCAUUCAGAUGACUCUCAGGAGCCGAGCUCCACUUCAAAGGGGUUUAAUUUAAUAAGAGGAAGAGCCGGGGCUCCCAGGGAACCUAAUUAGGGUUCUUUCCACUCCCCUGCGUCUCGCGUCUGCUUCUGAAGAGGGGCCAGGCCCCCGAUUGUGCUGUGUUUGGGUCCAGAGUGGAGGAACGGGCAGCUAGGCCCCACCGGGAGGACAUCCCUCUGCCUCAGGACUGACAGUGCAGACCCUGUCCCCAGCAGGAGAGGCCCGGCCACCCCAAAAGUCGGUGGGACUUGGGGCUGAGGGAGAGUGGGCAGAAGAAGGGGGCUGGGGAGAGGGGGGUCUGGAGCCACACUGGAGCCCAGCCCCUCUCCUUCCCAGCUGUGGGGUCCUGAGGACAGGCCACCUGCUCUCUGCAGCUCGGUCUCCUCAUCUGUGAAAUGGGCAGAUGACAGGAGCCCCCCGUCAGGCAGUCAGGAACUUGCUCUGUGCUAAGGGACAUGCAGUGGCUACCGCGGUGCCCAGCACAGAGGGGCACUGUCGCCACUCUUUCAACUACGGGAAUCGGAAGAGGGGGAUGGCUUUCCACGGUCGAGCUGACCUAAUGUUGCCCAGAUCUGGUGGACUCAGAAGCCAGCUCAGAGGAAAUCCCCGAGGGAGGGUCCCUCUCUUCCACAGUGACAAGAUCCAAGAGACCUCAGUUCACAUCCUGGCUCUUCCACUUGUAGCUGUGUGACCUUGAACAAAUUGCUUUGCCUCUCUGAGCGUCAGUGUCUUCUCUUGUAAAACAUAAUCAUGAU